rnacentral:rRNA from 1 species
GUGCCAGCGCCGCGGUAAUACCGGCAGCCCGAGUGAUGACCGAUCUUAUUGGGCCUAAAGCGUCCGUAGCUGGCUGCGCAAGUCCGUCGGGAAAUCCACUCGCCCAACGAGUGGGCGUCCGACGGAAACUGCACAGCUUGGGACCGGAAGGCUCGAAGGGUACGUUCGGGGUAGGAGUGAAAUCCCAUAAUCCCGCACGGACCACCGAUGGCGAAAGCACUUCGAGAAAACGGAUCCGACAGUGAGAGACGAAAGCUAAGAUCGCGAACCGGAUUAGAUACCCCUGUAGUCC